GACGAACGCUGGCGGCGUGCUUAACACAUGCAAGUCGAACGGAAAGGCCCUGCUUUUGUGGGGUGCUCGAGUGGCGAACGGGUGAGUAACACGUGAGUAACCUGCCCUUGACUUUGGGAUAACUUCAGGAAACUGGGGCUAAUACCGGAUAGGAGCUCCUGCUGCAUGGUGGGGGUUGGAAAGUGUCGGCGGUUGGGGAUGGACUCGCGGCUUAUCAGCUUGUUGGUGGGGUAGUGGCUUACCAAGGCUUUGACGGGUAGCCGGCAUGAGAGGGUGACCGGCCACAUUGGGACUGAGAUACGGACCAGACUCCUACGGGAGGCAGCAGUGGGGAAUAUUGCACAAUGGGCGGAAGCCUGAUGCAGCAACGCCGCGUGCGGGAUGACGGCCUUCGGGUUGUAAACCGCUUUCGCCUGUGACGAAGCGUGAGUGACGGUAAUGGGUAAAGAAGCACCGGCUAACUACGUG
rnacentral:rRNA from 1 species